GUGGUAUCCCGUUUGUCUUGUUCAGUUCACUCGACGCCUUCACUAACCUCGGACAAUCUAUUCCCUUCCCUCUUUCUAUCUCUAUCUCUCUAUCUCUCUCUUCCGUUGUUUAUUCACAUUCAUAACGUGCGUCACAUUCCCUCUCCGGAGAUAGUUCUGAAUGGCUGACAUGGCAGAGAAGCCGCAGGCAGAGAAGCCGCAGGCAGAGAAGCCGCAGGCAGAGAAGCCGCAGGACCUCAUCAAGCAGCGGCACGUGGAGGCGACGCUGGCGAAGGACAAGGGUCCCGACGCCCGCCUCCUGUCCUGGGCCGUCAAGGACUUCACGCAGAAGGGCGACAACAUGGCCACCUGCGUCACGAGCGUUGAGGUGACUUACUCGCUGGACGCCAAGGACCGCCACGCGUCCUACGUCGUCAAGCUGAAUCCGCAGCGAAAAGUGGAAGCGAUGGGCGACAUGAUAAGCGACAUCCUGGAGAAGGAGAUCAAUUUCUACACGGACAUUUUGCCGGAUCUGAAUUCCGCUUUGGGACGGGCGGGUUUGAGCGGACUGAGGGUCCCCACCUUCCACUUCGCGGAGAGCAACGUCGGCACCGAAAUGAUCUUCUUCGAGGACCUUCGCGCCCGAGGAUUCAAGAUGGCCGACCGGAAGCUGGGCCUGGACGCCGCGCACGCGAACCUCGUCUUCAAGGAGCUGGCAAGGCUUCACGCAGCUUCGGAUGUCCUAAAGAGCAGGUAUGGAGACCCGACCGACCGACACCCGCUCCUCAAGAAAGACUGGAUGACAAGUACGGGAGACGAGCGAGAAUUUCUACAGAAGUUAAUGGCAAACAAUCUGGAUGGGGCAGUGAAGCUACUCAGCAAAAUCGAAGGCUACGAUAACAUCAUGCAAUGGACCAUUCGGAACCAGCAGAGGAACGUGGAUUUAUUCCAAGACCAACUAGCAGCGGAACCUCAGUUUCAGGUCAUUUGUCACGGGGACUGCUGGAACAAUAACUUUAUGUUUAGGUAUGACGACUCGGGAGCGCCCCUGGAGGUGAUGCUGCUCGACCUGCAAGUCACCCGCUUCGCCUCGCUUGCCACUGACCUCAACUACUUCUGCUUCUCGAGCAUAAACGGCUCGAUUAUCGGCAGCAGCGUGCAGGACUUCCUCGCGGCCUACCACACGUCCUUCAGCCAAGUGUCGGAGGCAGCCGGUCACCGCGUCCCGUUCAGCCUCGAGGACCUCAAACACGAGUUCCGAGACAAGCAUAUUUUCGGCCUCCUGAUCAGCCUCAUGGCCAUCCCUUUUAUCGUCAUGAAUUCGGACGAUAUCCCCGAAGCCGACGAUUUCUUCAGUGCCGAAGGUAGUGAGGAAUUUCAGCAGAAGAUCUUGGAUUCCCUGGACUCCAACCCCCUACUGCGACCGCGUUUCUUGUCCGUCCUCGACUACAUGACCAAAGCCGGUGUCGUUGACUAAGUUCUGCGGGAAGGUCCGGUGUAGUCCGGGGUUGCAGGGAAACCCAAAGCCUACGGGCUUUGUGCAAGAACAUAGCCUCUGUAAAACGAAGAAUGAUAGCCGCGUAGUGUUUCGGUCUACUGAAGUUUUUCGUCAACGAUGAACAAGUUUCACUGUUGCUGAAAAAGGCGUAAAUUGGAAGAAGUUAUUACAAAAGGCAAGAUAAUUACGUUUCAACUUCUCGCAAUACUCAACGUGUACAAAGGCCUUCAGUUCAAUGUUGUAUCCCAUUUGUACUGUGAACUUCUGUAAACGCUGUGUGAAAAAAAUAUUAGCAUAAAAUUAGUUAUUAAGAUGUUGACUGUAUGUUUUCCUUACAAUUAUUCUCCACAAUAUAUUUAGCUUUAGAUCCUCCGUGGCUGUACAUUUGACGAUGUCUGUAUCCAAAGACAAUCACUGUAAAUAUUUAUCUGAUUUAGGGGCACAAACUAACCUGAGCACUGACAUUUCCAUGAAUUCUGUCACUGUGAAGAAUAUUGACAUUAGUGUUAAAAACGAUGCAGAGCAUAAGGACAAUAUCAAUAAAAUGAUUUCAGUCUGCUGUAA
rnacentral:misc_RNA from 1 species